GUGUUCCAGUUAUGGAAGAUAGCCAGAGAAAACACCUGGAGCUGAGAGAUGGGGAGUUUCUUGUUCGUGGAAUGGCCAGGAAGCAAGUGUAACUGGAGUGAAGAGUGUGUAGCUGAAGUAACAUGUAAGAAGACUGGAAAGGUGCAGGGAAGUAUCAAAACAUUAAUGAACCCGGGCCUGUUGCUGUUAUGACCUGUCUGAAGCCUGGACGAUAUGAUGAAGAGAAUACUGAACCCAGGAGAGAGAUCUCAGCUGUGUUCCUGGACUUCACUGGUCUUCUGGUCUUGGACAAGGAAAGAGAUCUGAACACCAGACAAGCUCAGCAUGUUUGUGAAGUCAGGCAACAGGUAUGUUGGUGAUAUCCACUGUAUCAGCAUGUCGUAGAAGAAACCCAGCAGCAAGUAACACCUUCAGCUUGAUGAAGAAGCAGCAAACAGCAUUUUGGAAGAGAAGAAUAGCAGCCUGUGAAGGCUGAAUAGAAUAACGUAAGAUAUAGCUAGUUGCUGGGAGAUAAAGCUCUGAGACCUAUUCUAGCUGAUAUACAGCCCUAGGGUUGGGAGUUGUGCAGGGAAUAUCCCAUCUCCCACCAGCA